GAUGAAGAACGUAGUGAAAUGCGAUAAGUAAUGUGAAUUGCAGAAUUCAGUGAAUCAUCGAAUCUUUGAACGCACCUUGCGCUCCUUGGUAUUCCAAAGAGCAUGCCUGUUUGAGUAUCAUUAAAUUAUCAACUGUACCAAUUUGGUUGCAGAUUGGAUGUGGGAGAUUUUGCAGGCUUUUGAUUUCUCUUUGAGAAAACGGUCAGCUCUCCUGAAAUAUAUUAGCAGUGCCUUUGUUGGUUCAUUAGGUGUGAUAAUUUAUCUACAUCUUCACAUGGUACCUUCAUUUGUGUAAAGGUCAUAUUGCUUCUAAUUGUCUUUGGACAUAAAAAAAAAAAAACAUAUAAUUGUAUGGAAAACUUGAUCUCAAAUCAGGCAGGACUACCCGCUGAACUUAAACAUAUCAAUAAGCGGAGGA
rnacentral:misc_RNA from 1 species